GUACCGCACGCGAGCGACGCCUAGCCGAUUCUCCCCUCUCCUUUCCCCUCCCCUGUCUGGCCAGAUCUGGGCGCGGUGAGGUGCGGCGGCCGGCUCCUUAGCCAUGGCCGCGAGCGCCGCCGUAGCACUCGGGCAAAGAACAGAUCCACCCUCGAGCUCGCUUUCCAGCUCCUUCUCACCGACUUCGAUCCCAGCGCAAGAACAGGAGGAGGAGAACCAGCGUAGUGCCUUAUAUGAUCAAACAUAGACCACGGUGUCUGGGUUUUCCUAAUGACCAGGUGUCUGGGUUUCGCCUGGAUUCGCCGUCUUCUUCAUUUGGGAUGGACGGAGAAAGAAGAGAGUUUGUGAUGGCACCUUCCCGAUUGGGGAAAGAAGGAUGGUAGAGGGAUUCUGGAUGUGAAGACGGCCAUGGCACUGAAGAGCCACAGCAAGGCGUAGAGGCGGCCGGGGGAGAGGAUAAACGGCCACCUCGCCAUGCUGAGGCGUAUGGUUCCCUGCGCAAACAAGGUUGAAGAAAAUGUUGGAGUGUUUAAUGGCAUGGCAAACAUUGUGAUACAGAAGUUAUCGGACUACUCCCCCCAUGUGGAGCUAGAACAUGAAGAUUAUGAUACUGGAAAGUCUCUUCUUGUUUCUUUGUCAAUUUUUAUUUUCUAGCUAGAGUGGGGUUUUUGUUCAAACAUCUAUUUUUCUUCAUCGCAGAUGAAUGUGAAAAGAAAUUGAAAGUGGAGAUUUUUUUGAUAAUUUUUAAGAUCCUCCAGCACUUUAUCACAUUCAGUGUCUUGCUGGAAUUUUGUAGCCCGAUAAAGUAUUUUGAAGAAAGGUAAGCUCCGAUCAGAUGAUCUUGAUAUGAAACGGGAUAGAGUCAAGAUUCGUCUGGUCAGGCGAUGUGCCUCCUUCAGAUUGUGUGGCGGUGGCAUAUAUUGGAGGUCCUUCAUCUUGCUUCGGUUGGCUUCGAUUCCUUUCUCGGUUAAGAUAUAGUCGAGGAAGCAUCCACUCUUAGCUCCAAAUACACACUUGUUGGGUUGAGCUUGAAUCCAUACUUUCUUUGGAUUUGACACGUCUCCUCUAUAUCAUCGCAUAAAUCAGCAGCUCGGAGAGACUUGAUUAGAAUGUUAUCAAUAUAUAUUUCCAUAUUUCUGCCGAUCUACCUUUGGAACACCUUGUUUAUAAGUCGUUGAUAGGUUGCUUCUGCAUUCUUUAGUCCGAACGACAUAACAUUAUAACAGUAUAUUCCUUCAGCAGUGAUAAAGCUAAUCUUUUCUUGGUC